UCUUCCUUGUUCGCGAGUAGAACUCUUUCAUCGGCACAGUUUUAGGAUAGAAAUCUGCGACUCUGUGUUCGCCCGACGACGUUCCGGGUUGAUGGACAGGAUAGUUGGUAGCUCUAAGAAGCAUAGGUUUUGCUAGUGUAAUAUUGAAUGUCGUGCUACAGUUUAAUGGCACGCUUUACCGAGUAAGCAGUCGCAGCAGGUGUUCUCUAUGCAGUCUGCCUGAGACCUGAUCGGAGCGUCAGUCGGCUGAGCUGGAGUUCUCGUGGCUGAGAGCAGAGCACUAUGUCAGGCAACCAGUCAUGCCUGACGGGCGCGGAGGACACGCUCUCUGUCUUGGUGUGUUUGUUUCAUGCAUGGGAGGAAUGGGCGGGUCUUGAUCAAGAGGACUAUCUGAGUGUCUUGGAAUACCUGUUGUGGGUCUUCACACCCCUAGCCAUCGUCUUCAUCGUGCCUUUCCUCAUCGUUAUCUUCCUUUACCUCUCUAUACUCUUCCUUCAUGUCUACAAGAGGAAGAAUCAGCUGAAAGAAGCUUACUGUAACAACCUGUGGGACGGAGCCAGGAAGACCUUAGCUACUCUGUGGGACGGACACGGAGCCAUCUGGCAUGGGUAUGAGGUUCAUGGUAUGGAAAAGAUUCCCGAUGAAGGACCAGCUCUGAUCGUGUACUAUCACGGAGCCAUUCCAGUCGACUACUACUACUUCCUCGCUCACGUUAUCAUUCAGAAGGGACGGACCUGCCACUCCGUAGCCGACCACUUCCUCUUUAAGAUCCCAGGUUUCAAAUUGCUCUUGGAGGUGUUCAGUGUGAUCCAUGGUCCUCAGGAGGAGUGUGUUCGAGCUCUGAAGAACGGUCACCUGUUGGCGAUUUCUCCGGGAGGAGUGCGGGAAGCUCUGUUUAGUGAUGAGACCUACCCUCUCCUCUGGGGCGAACGGAAAGGCUUUGCCCAGGUCGCCAUUGAUUCUCGAGCGCCAGUAAUUCCAAUGUUUACUCAGAAUGUGCGGGAAGGCUUCAGAUCUCUGGGAACGCUCAGAUUUUUCCGCUGGCUCUAUGACAGAUUUCGUCUCCCUAUAGCUCCUGUUUAUGGUGGAUUUCCUGUGAAGUUUCGAACCUUCCUUGGGGAUCCCAUCCCAUAUGACCCCAACAUAAAUGCUGCUGAACUAGCACAGAAAGUGCAGCAAGCAGUCCAGUCUCUGAUAGACACACAUCAGCAAAUCCCAGGGAGCAUCCUGAGAGCCUUGUUGGAGAGAUUCCACACCAAAUACAAAGCCCACUAACAUCAGUGACACUACAACAGAGACAAACUGUCCAGUAUGUGACCAAACCCACGCAUCAGGUGGCUGCAGUCUGCACAGGUUUGGUGCUGAUGUGCAUCUGAAGUCCUCGAUGUUUUUAUUGCACAGCUCUGAUAGUACAGCUGAACACUACUAGCUACAGGCGAGUCUGGAUAUACAAAGAAAGGACGCAAGGAAAGAGUUCUUAGUUUCUUACUAAGGCUGGUACAGUAUUUUCUUUGUAUUAUUAUUAUUAUUCAAUUUUAAAUAGAAUAGUUAAAAAAAACAAAGCCCUAAUGAUUUAAUUCCCCAAAAACGUUAAUGGGAAAAUAGGUCUUGGUGCUGGAUGACCUCACAGGAAAUGACAAAUCGGGGAUCCGUGUGGAGGGCGAGCGCCUGAUGUCCAGGCCUGGAUUUAUGGGGCCUAACAAAUGACAUGUAAACGCCACAGUGUGGAUUUUUAUGUUGCUCGUUUUUGUCUUCACACACAAGAGCAAGAAGCUCUUUCUGAAACUGGAGAUCAAUGGUGACCAGCUGGUUUUCACUGUUUAGUAUUGAGUAUCUGGGACUUCUGAUUGCACAAAAGUAGACAUUUGAAUUCUGACUCCCUGACUCAGAAGGUGAAACUGACGGCUUCCCAAAGAUGGAGUAAGAAAGGCGUUGGACUGGAAGAACUGCGCUGAAGUUCCAAAGCAAUGACUGAUCAUGAGAAAACAAAGUGUUUAAAGACGAUGAUGUUGAACAUGACGGUGUUUGAUUGUUGCUGUAACAAUGCAACAUAGCCUCUGUUGGUCAUAUCAGUGUGCACACUGCAUGUCAGUUUGGUGAUAUCAGUUUUACCCCGGGCUCUCAGCUGCUUUGUUAUUAACAAAUCAUUUGUAACGUAAAGUCAAAUUUGGUUGUGGUUUGGAGAUGCAGUUAGUUUGUGUGUUUGUGUGUAGUUGCUGUAUUUUUCAAUAUCUAAACAUGUGAAUAUUGUGAUUCAGCAGGUCUUUUGUCACACUGGUGUCACUGCCAGCUCAGAGACAUGUCUCACUGGAGCAUUAAUGUCUGCACACUGGUUGCCUUUUUCCAUGUCACUAGUGUUGAGGUCUAACAUGUAUUUUUAAUGUUUGACAGUGUAAAGUAUGUGUUAAACGUUUAAAUACUGAGAGCUACUCCAGCCUGUUAAUAAAUGUCUUUACUGAGAUGUUGCUUUGUUUGUUAUUUGAGGAAUGAGUAGUUCAUAGCACAGAGAGUCAGACGA